GGGUUCUACCGUUGGUCAGGCUAUUGUCUGUACUGGCGUGUAGAAUUUCUACCUUCUGGGGAACUAUCAUGUUAUUAAUUUAGCGUGGUAGGAAACCAGGACCUUUACCUUGAAAAAAUUAGAGUGUUCAAAGCAGGCUUAUGUCUGAAUACAUUAGCAUGGAAUAAUAAAAUAGGACGGUGGUCCUGUUUUGUUGGUUUCUGAAUCACCGUA
rnacentral:rRNA from 1 species